AGCCGAGGCAAUGGCCUCUAUUGAUUUCUUCCUUGGCAUUUUUGCUCAUAGCCACUACUGCCACGGCUGCUUAUGAGCCUUACAUUUAUGCCUCACCACCUCCACCGCCUUACUAUUACAAGUCACCACCACCACCAGAAUAUUCUCCACCACCACCUUACUACUACAAAUCUCCACCACCACCUGAGAAGUCUCCCCCGCCACCUUACUACUAUCACUCACCACCUCCUCCUAAGAAGUCACCCCCACCACCUUACUACUAUAAGUCUCCGCCUCCGCCGAAGGAAUAUCCCCCACCACCUUACUACUACAAGUCUCCGCCACCACCGGAGAAGUAUACCCCGCCACCUUACUACUACAAGUCUCCGCCCCCACCCGAGAAGUAUACCCCGCCACCUUACUACUACAAGUCACCGCCCCCUCCGCCACCUUACUACUACAAGUCUCCGCCACCACCGGAGAAGUAUACCCCGCCACCUUACUACUACAAGUCACCGCCCCCACCCGAGAAGUAUACCCCGCCACCUUACUACUACAAGUCACCGCCCCCACCGGAGAAGUAUCCCCCUCCACCUUACUACUACAAGUCACCGCCCCCACCGGAGAAGUAUCCCCCUCCACCUUACUACUACAAGUCACCGCCCCCACCAGAGAAGUAUCCCCCUCCACCUUACUACUACAAGUCACCGCCCCCACCAGAGAAGUAUCCCCCUCCACCUUACUACUACAAGUCACCGCCCCCACCAGAGAAGUAUCCCCCUCCACCUUACUACUACAAGUCACCACCGCCACCAGAGAAGUAUCCCCCUCCACCUUACUACUACAAGUCACCACCGCCACCACCUUAUUAUUAGAAGUCUCCUCCACCUCCCUCUCCAUCUCCACCCCCUCCAUACUACUAUAAGUCGCCACCUCCUCCUUCUCCAUCUCCACCCCCACCGUACUAAUAUUUGUCUCCUCCACCUCCUAAAGGCUACUAAAUAUACAAUGUGUUGUUGAAACAUGUGUGAUCUUAGUUAUGUAAGAAUAAGUGUAAGUUUGUAAGCUUGUUCUAUUUCUGAUUUUUUCUUCAUCAAUGUUUUUGUGAAUAAAAGGAUUUGAGAUGGUAAAUCCAUUUGUAAGAAGUGCUGCUCAUUUUCGUUGUAAAAGUUAUUGUAAGCAAUAAGAUCUCGUAAUUUAAGGUUUCAUAAAAGUUAUAUGUGCAACUACUUUCAAUUUCCAUUGUCAUCUUUUUCACAACCACCAAGCGUAUUACUUCUUUAUAGAUGGAAAAUGCAGAGGCAAGCUUAUUAUUCUUUAAUAUUACCAUUCUUGAUGUGUUUGUUUAUUUAGUUGAAACGGUAAAUAAAAUGUACAUGAAGUACCGCACUGCAUCCAAAUUAAAUUUAGGAUAUAGACUAAGUUCAUGUAAUCUCAAUUUUGUCACAUUAUUAUUGGAUUUUAUAUAAAUAGCUAAUUUCUUUUCCUUCCGAAUUUCGACGGGAAGGAGAAUUUAUUAAGUAAUACAGAGAAGUGCACCUAGUAAUAUUUAAAGAGGAUAUAAUGAGCACUACCUUUCAUGAUGAUAAUGCCCAUGAACAAGUAAGAGAAGCUUAGAGUUUUAUUCCUACUCAAAUCAGAUUCUACGGAGGAGUUAUAUUCGUACCUUUUUAACGCUUUACAUAUAUGAUUAGAGAAUUAUGAGGACAUAAAUUCCGCUAUAAAUUUGUUGUUAUAUUUAGAGGAGUUUACAUGACUGGAGAAUUAUACACACAUAAAUUCUUUGAUGUCCAUUUUAAAUUAUAUUCCAAAAGGGAAAAUGUUUUCCGUUUAUGGUUUAAAAAUAGAAGCUUUGUGCUUUUUUUUUUUAAAAAAAAAAUCUAGAUCAUUCAGUGAAUAUUGGUUGUUAAUUUACUGCCAAAAUACUCGUAAGUUUAUUUAUUUAUUCUGUAAUGCAACUUUUGGGAUACAUAAUAAUCAUAUAAAUAAAUAAACUAUAUUGUAAUAUAUUUCAAUUAACUUGUUGACUUGUAUGAAAAGAGCGUGUCAUUACCUUUUAUGCCUAAUUAAAUUUACAAUUUUAGUCCCUAUGAUUUUUUUUUUUCAAUCAUUAAUUCCAUGCUCUUAUGAGUAGAAACAUAUGUAGAAUUUUGAUAUUUAAGAGUUGGUGGAGUUUCUAUGAUAUUUUGUACCUGUGGCUCAUCAUUUCACCACGGUGGGCAACUUCAUGGAUUUUGUCCUCUAAAAGGUAGCACUCUAACUUAAGAUGCCAUGUUCUUCAGAAAGUUAUCAAAUAGUUGAAUAGUUAUAUUAAGUUUAUUAUUGAUAAGAAUCUUAAUUAACUAGAUAUAGUACUUAAUAUACAAUGUUUUAUUCGUGAAAUUGUUGAACUAUUUUCACCAUUUUUCAAUGUCAUUUUCAGGAUGAGCUAUCAUUUGGAAUUUCAUUUUCUAUGGACUCUCACUUUUUCCCAUAACCACUUUUUUUGUUUAUAUUUUAUCAGAUUAAUUAUUCCUUGUUUGUUUAGAAGGAGCUUUCAUAUUGGAGAAAUACAUUACGUAUCUUAUAAAUCUAUGCAUCUUUACCUUUUUUUUUCCCAAAAUAAUUAAAAAAAAAAAAACCUCACCAAUGACCAAUCCAAUGUUCAAUAUGAAAAGUUUGAAGAAAAAAUGGUGUGAACUAAAACAAAAUAUAUAAUUUUGUCACAAUCCAAGAAAAAAAAAUCAUUAUAAAAUAUAAUUAAGAGGUAGCCACCUUCUCUACAUCAAUUUGUCACAAAACUAUAUCAGUGAGAUAUAUGCAAGACUCACCCAUUGGUACAAAAGAAAAUGAUCAAAGUGGAAGCAAAAAUGUGGUGAUAAUUUAGAUGAUCUCCACUCCCCAUUUAGUUUCAUUUAUUAAGUUAAUGUUUAAUCAAGAGUCUAAUUACUCAUUUUAUUAUGUUAUUAAUCAACUGCCGCCCCUUCCACUGGUUCAUUAUUUUUUAUGGAAUACAAAAAACAGACAAUAAUAUUCUUUGACAUAGCUAGGAAUAUAGCCCACUUGCAAGAGACUUACAUUCCAUCGCUCCCUAAUUUCCCGUGUAACAUCUUAUCUUGCAUCACAUCAGAGACGUGUUCGUUUGCACAGCCAUUUCGUGAAUAUAAAAUUGCUGCCGAAUAAGCAUCUAAUCAAAAGAAUUUGUCAACGGUAUAAAUUAAAAUAUAAAAAACGAGUAAAAGAAUUUGUCAAUAGGAUAUGGGAGGCCAUGGCUUCAAUCGGUUUGUGCAAUGGUCAAUGGCAUAUUUUUGCUCAUCGUCACCACUGAAUCCACUGAUCAUUUGUGCAUGUGAGUUGUUUUUGAGCAUUUAUUUUUCCCUUUAGAAGCAUAAGGAUAAGGCUAGUCUUCUUUUUGGGAGGACUUAUUGCUUCCAUUCGUUAAAAUUGGGCAUGUAAAAUGUCAAGAAAAAAUGGCCUAAGUGGCUAGCUAGAUGAUAUAAUGGAUGGUUACUACUCAAACCUAGCAAUAAAUGAAUGUCCGACAAGCAUUCAAAUGAAUGAAUAAAACCAAUCAGAUUAGAAUAUCUAUUUAUGAUAGAUUAAUGAAAAUACGAUUCAAAUAUAAGGUAAAUAAUCUCUCCAUUAAUUUUUUAUUGUUUCAGGCAGGGUUGCCAAGCCUCUGUCCGGGCUUCUAUAAGCUCAAUUCCAGCUCUCCUAUAUGAUUGAAUUAGAUCGGGCUAGGCCCUCGGACUUUUUAAUUAAAAAAGGUCGAUUUUUAAGUUUAUGAAGUUAAUACACUCACGCUUAUACUUUAAUAUUUUUAUUAUUUGGCUUUUAGAAUAUUAACGUGUAAAUUACUUUUUUUUUUCAAGUGAAAUAAUUAUCACAUUUUGUCUUCUUAGUAUAUAUUUCUACCUUUUUGUUCCUAUAGAUAUUUCCUCAUUUCAUCUUUGGUACUAGAGCGUAGUAAAAAAACACAUGAUUAAAGAUAAAUAUGACAUUUUAACUAACAAAUUAAUUAUUUGUAUCUAAGAUCUAGCUCUAGUGGUAAAGAUCAAUUUUCAUCGAAUUCAAGUCUUGGGUUUGAAUUUAAAUGCAUGGGUAAGUUAAUAAUAAUAAUAAUAAUAAUAAUAAUAAUAAUAAUAUCAAAUUAACUAGCUUUAAUUUGCAAAGGUCUUAGAUAAUCAAUUCGCUUGUAAAAAUAUCAAAAUUUUUUUUAAUCAAUGAAAUUUUCAAGUCUCUAGUUUUAGCACAAGGAAUGAAUUAAAAGAGUAAUGAUAAAUAUUUUACAAUUUUAUCCCAAAUGAUAAGACAUGUCAUGUGUCAUGUAUUAAGUGAUUGAUGAUUUUUUUAUAAAUUUUAAGUGGAUGAAAUAUAUUAUUUCACCAACCAGUAAAUGAAUAUGACAUCAUUUGAGAAGGAAUUUUAUGGUACAAUUUUGAAAUAUUUAUCACUACUCAAUUAUAUACAGUAUAAAAAAUCUAAUAGGGACCAAAAAUAUAAAAACAGAUUAAGAAUAAAAAAUAUAAAAGUCAAUUCCUAAUUAGGAGAAUGAAAGUGUCAUUCCCCUGUAAUCAUUUCACUAGAUAUUAUGUAAAUAUAUUAAGGCAAAAUUUUAAUAGAAAAUUGGUACCCAAACCUAACGUCUUUGACAUUGCUGCCAAGAUCACUCACAACUUACAAGAAUAAAAAAUUGGUAUUAAAUUUAUUAAUGUUCUCAAGGAAUUUUUAGCUUGACUUUACAUUUCUCGGACCCAUUUGUCACAUAACACCUUAGUUCGUUAACAAAGCCCUUUCAUGAGAAUAUUAGAACUGCUGUCGAAUAAGCAUCUUAACAACCCCUUUUUGACAUACAUGCAUGCCUCCUUCUGUGAACAAUUUGAAACAUAAAAUAAAAUUUCAAUCGAUGUGAGGGUUGGAGUAUUUUAUAGCUUUUGACCUCAUUAAUUAUGAGUAAGAGAAUAUUUCUACGUCACUAAUGGUUAAAAUGAUCACUAUAUAAAGGGUAGCAAAGUAUGUUUAACAUCAAGUCAGAAAACACAAUUUUUAGGAAAUGGGAACUCGGGGACAAGCGAGGCAAUGGCCUCAAUUGUUUUGUGCUAUAGCAUUUUUGCUUAUAACCACCACCACCAAGGCAUCGGCUGAUGAUUAUGCCUCAGCACCACCACCAAAGUAUUCUUCUCCACCUCCUUACUACUACAAAUCACCACCUCCUCCUUCUCCCUCUCCACCUCCACCAUAUUAUUACAAGUCUCCCCCACCACCAUCUCCGUCUCCUCCACCACCUUACUACUACAAGUCACCACCACCACCAGUGCAUUCUCCCCCGCCACCUUAUUACUACAAAUCUCCGCCGCCACCAAAGUAUUCUCCCCCGCCACCUUAUUACUACAAAUCUCCACCGCCACCAAAGCAUUCUCCCCCACCACCUUACUACUACAAAUCUCCACCGCCACCAAAGCAUUCUCCUCCACCACCUUACUACUACAAAUCUCCACCACCACCAAAACACACCUUACUAUUAUAAAUCACCACCUCCACCAAUGAAGUCUCCACCUCCGCCAUAUUACUAUAAAUCACCACCACCACCAAAGCAUUCUCCCCCGCCACCUUACUACUACAAGUCUCCACCACCACCAAAACAUUCCCCACCACCACCUUACUACUAUAAGUCACCGCCUCCACCAGUAAAGUCUCCACCACCGCCCCCAAAGCAUUCUCCCCCACCACCUUAUUAUUACAAAUCACCACCUCCACCAGUGAAGUCUCCACCUCCGCCACCUUACUAUAAAUCACCACCACCUCCAAAGCAUUCUCCCCCUCCACCUUACUAUUAUAAAUCACCACCUCCACCAAUGAAGUCUCCACCUCCGCCAUAUUACUAUAAAUCACCACCACCACCAAAGCAUUCUCCCCCGCCACCUUACUAUUAUAGAUCUCCACCACCACCAAAGCAUUCUCCCCCACCACCUUACUACUAUAAGUCACCACCUCCACCGAAGAAAUCCCCACCUCCACCAUAUUAUUAUAAGUCGCCACCACCACCAAAGCAUUCUCCCCCACCUCCUUAUUAUUACAAAUCUCCACCACCACCAAAGUAUUCUCCACCACCACCUUACUAAUACAAAUCUCCACCAACGCUAUCUCUAUCCCCACCUCCAUCUUACAUUUAUAAAUUCCCACCUCCACCAUCUAUAUCACCUCCACCACCACCUCCAUCACUGUCACUAUUGCCUCGCUACUGUUCCAAGUCAUCACCACCUCCUGAAGACUACUAAGUUCAAUGUUCCGUCUUCAAACAAAUUUAAAAUUCAAUAAGAAUAAAUUUGUUCCUUCAGUUGCCUUUUUCAUGAAUUUUUAUGUUAAUGUUUUUACGAAUAAUUUUUAAGAAGCGUUCGGUGUAUCAUUGUCAUGUGCAAUAAAAAUUUUCUAACUUAAUGUACCCAAAAAAAAAUGUUCCACAAGAAAUAUUCUAUUGUUUUAUCACAAAUGUGUUGUGGCACAUGUAAUGCGCCUAGAUAAAGUAAUAUUAUGUCUUGAUGAACAAUCAUGCACAACAAUGAUCAUGUACAUAGUUCUUCCAAUGUCAUGAUAAUGUCCAUGCACAUAAUAACAAACUUCUUCCUUGUAAUAUCAAAGAAAAUGAAUAUACAAGCCUCUUAUUCUCUAAUCAUUCACUCAAACAACAUUGUUUUAAUUUAGGUUUUGAUCAAUCUUAAUGCUCAUAAAUGCUAACUACAAAUCAUAUACAAGAUCAACAAAAACCAUAUUUUAAAUGAAUUAGAAAAACAAACAUUAGACUUAACCAAGUAGUUAACCUUUAUUAUUCUCCUAGGUAGAUUACAAGCUAUCACUGAAAAAAAAAAUCAUCUAAAAUGGUGAACAAAUGCGCUCUAAAUCAGUUGCAUUCAUUUGUUCAGCUAAGCAAUAAAAUAACCCUUUUCCAUUUUAACUUAUAUACUUUGGCAUGGUAACUUUAAAUAACACCCUCAACUUGACAAAUUUUAAUAACCAAAGCGAUCAAUAACUGUAAAUCUUGACAAAAUUUUUUACUUUAGUUAAAGCCAUAAACAUAGUAUUAAAUAAAAUGAAAAAAAAGGCCAUAAACAUAGUGUUGAAAUACCUUUAUACUUGUGAACUAACUUUUGAUGUUGAUUAAGCUCAUGUACCCUCAACUUUUGUAUUAUGAAUAUGCUUAUGCCCUAUCUUAGGUCUCCUCUAUGAACUCCUCCAUGAACCACUUUUUUUUUUUUUUUUAAAAAAUAAAUUCAUUAUGAUACUAAGGUAUAAGCAGAAGUAAAAUUCCUUUAAUAUUAUUGUAAUCAGGAUGUGGCUACCUAGGUGAUACAUGAAUUGGUUAUUUGUACAUUUUACUACAUUUUUUUGAGUUUGCUUGCUAUUUUUCUCUUUGUUCCAAUAAUUCCCACACGAGGAUAAUCUCAUUUUAACAAAGAAAGAUACUACUGAAAUACAACAAAACAUAAAUUCUAAUAUACUAGAAAAUUUUUUUUUCUUUGCCUUUUCAUAUCUUAGAGUUAUGUUUUUAUCCUCUUGUAGUGGCAUAUAUGCAUUUUAACUAGAAUAUUCUUAUUUGAGAAUUAUUAAUAAGAGAGUGGUAGACAAAUGAUACAAAACUAUGCUGCUUCACGAUUAACAACACAUUCAAUCGAGUAACGAUAGAGAGUCAAUUCUAACACCACGAGAAAGCAAACAAAAGUUGAAAUAUUUUAGCGAAUACCUUUUAAAGUUUGAAUUAAUAAUAAAAUUGUCCCAAAAAACUGCCUUAAUGGAAUUAAUGUGGAGAUUUAGUGGUAGGGUGCAUCAAUAUCAUUUUCCAGAAAAAAAAUAGUCAAAAUAUGAAAGGUUUGUUCUGCAGGUGGUUGAUAUUGCUGUACAUUAAUAUCAAUGAUACGUACCAAAUUCUAUUAUAAAAUUCAUUAAUGUAUAAGUAGAAUAUUUAAUAAAUUAAUUCCGGGUAAAACGUCGGUGAUAUGAACAGUAGCGAAGCUGCAACCGGGUUAGCUUUUUUUUUUAAUAAAAAAAUAGUUAAUUAUAAUUUAUGAAUUUGCCUUUAUUAAUACUUAAAAAAAUAAAAAUAAAUUUAAUAGCCCACCCCGAUGCUAGCUAAGCUAAAAAUAAAAUAUAUCGAAUAAAUGGUGAAGAGAAAGCUGUAAUAAUUAUCGUAAUUACAGUGAGAAGCUGUAAUUUUCUUGAACACGCUUUGACGUACGAUUAGCAAAAAAGUCGUCUGUCUAUAAGCAAUUGGCCGUACAGCAUCUUAACUAUUCCGUUGACAUUGUAAUUAAUUAAUUGAUGACUUUUCUAUAAUUUCUUUGAACCAAAUGCAGAUAUUUAGUGGGCAACCCGCAACCCUUGCUUGGCAAAAUAUAGGAAAGAAAAACUUGAAAUUUAUAAAUGUUACAUUUUGUUUGGAUGAAUAAUUUUGAGAUAAUGUUUCAGUUUUAGAUUUUGUUACCGAUACCUAAUUAUAAUAAUAAAAAAUAUUGCAUCAUUUUUUUACCAACAGUUACAAUACAUUUUAUUUUUUUUUCUUCUCAAUAUUUAAACUCGAAUAAUCAGUUAAAAGUUGCUCGAGAAUGUUUAAAAGCCAUUUAAGUAUACCACGUCAUUCAUGUUUUGCAAUCAUUCAAUUGUUAAUAAGUUUCCCAUGUGCUGAAAAUAAAUAAAAAUGCACGUGCAUAUGUCAUAUUGUCUCCGAAACCUCACAGCGGAAUGAGUGUAGUACUUGCAAUGCAUGUACUUUAGACUUUGUAUUUCUCUUAUUUAAAUGAUCAAUAAUUUUUCUUUGUCCUUUAAUUAGACGUCAACAGUCGAAGUUGUGGGCAAGUAGUAGGCUAUAUAUAAUAAUUUCCUGGAGAUCUUCCGUCUUCUAAGACAUUGCAAAUGCCAAACGUGAUAACUAUUUUGAUAAUUCAAAUACUACAUAAAAUAUAUGAAGUGUCAGACAAGUCAAAAGAAUUGAUUCUUCACAAUUGUAUAUACGUAUACACACACUUUGCCCAAAUCCCAUUGUAUCCAGGCUGUAAUUUUUAUAUUAAACGAACAUAUUUUAUUUUAUGUCAGCAAUAUUGAUGCAGGCUGGUGGAACAACAGCUUCAGGAUGGUCAACUACCCUUCGGAUCAUUGCAAGUGGGAUGGCAUCACUUGCAAUUCAGAUGGAACCAUAAUCGGGCUAAAAUUAUCAGGGUAUGAUGUUGACUUCAAAAGGUAGUCUUCGUAAAAUUAUCAUGGUAUAAUAUACGUAUUUAUUUUCGCAUACAUAAAUAAAUAACAAAAUUGUAAUUAAUUGGAUACAACUUCAGCUUUUGGACUGGUUUGUGAAAAUCGGAAAAAUUUAAAAAUGCUCCUCUUGAACAAUCAAAAUCUACUUUAUACGUGAACAAAGGGGAUGAUUCGUAAAGAUAAUUCAUCAAUGUUUGAUUACUUUCAGAAAGAUAGACUUCAUUUGAUCUCGUCCCAAAGCAUAAUUUCACUUUGAAUUUGAAAAAGAAUAAUGAAGUUCAUACGAUGCUGUUGUGACCUUUUUUUUUUGUUUUCUUUUUUUCUCGACGUUGUUUUGUGAAUCAUAAGGGUUAAUUUAGUACGGUGGGUUCGCUUGUAUGAAGCGUACUUAUUGUACCAUUCUGUUGCAAGUAAUGAAAAAACGCUAUAAUUUUUUUUAGGUUUCUACAAGUAUUAUGUUAUCUUAUAUCUAACUGUGCAUCUCUAUUCUUUGCUCUCAGUUCAGGUUCUCUAAAAGUAUAUUAAUUAUGAAAAGCAUUAAAGGUUCCGAAACUCUAUUUUGCGGGGAAAAAGAACCUCCAUUUUUGGUUUUUUAUUAUCAUAAGAGGUUUUACUAUGCUCGUAAUAACUUAAUCGAAAUUAAACAUAUCACUGGUCUACAUUUUUUUAUCAGAUUUUGUGCCUUGCUAAUUAAGAUGAGUAUCACCAUCAAAUCAACAAGCUUAUACCUUCAAAGAAAAAUAGACUAUAAGUCGGGAGAAAGAAGAAGAAAAAAAAAAAGAAGCUUCGCAAUUUAUGCUGUUGGUUGUGAGUUCAUGAAACAAAUAAAAAUAUGAAAUCAAACAUUUAUUCAAAAUUUAAAAUUAAAAAAAAAACUCUAUAUCUACAGUAAUCUGUUCAAACCACAUAGGUGGAGCAAUAUAGUUCCAAGACGUGGUUUUAAAACAUGUCUUUGUGAUAAACAAUAUCGUGAUACUUGCGCCAAUUCCCAUGGCAAUAAUUGCCUACAUUUAUCCAAGAUCCAUGGCCAGGUUUAGAAUGUGCUAGUCUUCUUUCACUUUCAUAAAUAACCACUACUAGGUAAUCAGAGUGUCGGUCUAAAUUUUUCGGAGAUACAACGUCAAUGUAUGUGCCCGGAGUUGAAGCUGAACGCGCUUAAAUAUGUUCGGAAUUUGAAGUUGAACGCCUGGAAAAGGAUGCAGACUGAAGAAAGGCAAUUCCUGGAAUUUGUCUUUGGUAAGAAAACAUGGCUGCUUAUGCCCUUUGAAAGACUGAAGAAACCAAAUUGAUUAUUGCUGCAAUUUAGUGGCACAUGUACGAGGAGAGGCAUCCAAUUAAACUUGUUCAUAAAAGUAUUGCUGAUAGUUGCAGCCGAUCUCCAGACAAAAUCUUCGUACAAUUUUAUCCGCCAGCAAUUUCGACCAAGAGACCUUGAUGCAGUUCAGACCAAUUCGCCAGUUGAACAUCAAGUUGCCUAGGCAUUGAGAAUUAGGUCAAUAAAAUAUAUCCUGGGUCACUUACAAAAGAUGAAAUAAGUGAAAAAGGAAAGAUGACGUAAUAAUUUCUUAGUGAGAAAAGUUAGUUAAUUUUCAAUUGCUUUCAUUGUUUUGAUAAUUUUCAAAACAUUUCAUUGCUUUCAUUGCGUAAUUAAGCUUUUUUUGCUUCAAAAUAUUUCAAAUUGUGUUUGUGGGACUACUAAACAAUUAGGACACAACAAUGUUUCGUUCUGGUCUUUUUUUUUUUUUACUUUUUAAUUUAUUUUAAGAAAAUCUUUGUCCAUCUCUCAUCCUGCCAAAUAUAUCGUCUCGUCUUGUUAUCUAGAAUAAUUCUUCAUGCAUCAAUGAGUUUUGACAAAUUUUUAUCUUUUAAAAGUUGUUGUAAUUCAAUAUAGCUAAAAUCUUAAAUACAUACAUGUAGAAUAAUCUAAGCAUUACCUUAUUCGGGGAAAAUCGAGAUUAGAAUCAAUCAAAGCAAUGAUACCUUAUAUCAGUGAGAUAUAUGCAAGACUCACCCAUUGGUACAAACGAAAAUGAUCAAAGUGGAAGCAAAAAUGGAAUCCUCAAAUGUGGUGAUAAUUUAGAUGAUCUCCACUCUCCAUUUGGUUUCAUCUAAUAAGUUAGUGUUUAAUUAAGAAUUUAUUACUCAUUUUAUUAUGAUAUUAAUCAACUGCCGUCCCUUCCAUUAGUUCAUUAUUUUUGAUGGAUUACGAAAGACAGACAAUAAAAUUCUCCAAAACUGUUGUAAGAGUAAUAUUGUAAAAGUUACAUAAAAGUGAGGAUAAGGAUAAUUUGAGGUAUGUUUCAAGAUAUAAAGAUUAAAUAAAUUCUUAACUCAAAAUAAAGAGAUUUAUUUUUUUUAAAAGAGAUUAAAAUGUCAUGAUAAAUAAAUAAGGGAGGUGAUAUUCUGGGCUCUCCCCUGGCUUUUUGUGAUAACAUCUUAAAUUAAUAUAAAUAGUUAAAAUUUUAUUAAAAAAUAAAUUUUUACCUAAUACUCUUUGACAUAGCUAGGAAUAUAGCCUACUUGCAAGAGACUUACAUUCGUUUGCACAGCCCUUUCGUGAAUAUAAAAUUGCUGCCGAAUAAGCAUCUAAUUAAAAGAAUUAGGAAUUUGUCAACGGUAUAAAUUAAAUAUAAAAAACGAGUAAAAGAAUUUGUCAAUGGGAUAUGGGGGGCUAUGGCUUCAAUCGUAGGGGUGGGCAAAUUUCGGAUUCCGAAUCCGAUCGGAUUUUGGAUAAUUCGGAUUGGGAAAAAAUCCAUCCAAAUUCAAUCCGAACCUUAAAUCUGUUUCGAUCCGAGAUAAUUUCGGAUCCGGAUCAGAUUCGGAUGAGUUUGAAUUUCAGAUUAUAUUUCAAGUUCGGAUUAUAUUUUGGAUUCGGAUUAAUUCGGGUUUGGGACCUUUUUACAAUUCUCACAAAAAAAUUAUGAAAUUUAUAAUUAAUGAAAAAUAAUUUCCAUGAUGCUGUCAACAAUAAUUAAUAUUUUGAAAACGCAAUAACGGAAUUUUCAAAAAAAAGAAAAAGAAAACACAGGAACGGUAUUGAUAAAGAAUUUUCAUUAGCCAUUUGUGACUGCUAACUAAAUUGUAACAACUAAGUAAAAUAUAAUAAUAAUAAUAAUACAUGCGGGUAUAUUCAAAGCAACUAAAUCACUUGCGAAUGAUCAAGACAAAUCGUAUAAACAAGUAAAAAAUUCAAAGUUUCAAACGCAAAUCGUCGGGGGCUAUCGGAUUAGUGGAUUACCAUUAACAAGACGAGGUUUAUGUCGGUGUGAGUUGCUCAUUGUGGGUCUGGAUGAUGUCGCGAUGGCUGGGUUUGUGCCAACUAUGAUCCAGCUAGGUUUGUAUCGAAUCUGAUCUCGUCUAGAGGACGUUGUGGCGGCUGGGUUUGUGUCGAAUUCAUUCGGUUUGUCUCGUCGGCGACAUGGUUGUUGGUUGGCUCGUCAGGUUGUGGCCCGUGGGUGUGGUGUGGUUUGUUGUCGUGGAUUGACUUAUCAAAGGGCGUGCGACGAUGGUGUGUGGUUUUGUCAUUUGGAAAUUGAGUUUUGAUUUUUCAUUUUCGUUUUUUUAAAAAAAAAUUUUUGGAUUAUUCGGAUUGAACUGAAUCUUAUCCGAUCCAAAUCAAAUCCGAUCAGAUUACAAAAAUUUCAUCCGAUUGGAUUUUAAAGCAAAUCCAAAUCCGAUCCGAACAAAUUCGGAUCGAAUUGGAUUAGAUCGGAUCUAUCCGAAUCUGAUCCAAUGUCCACCCCUAUUCAAUCGGUUUCUGCAAUGGUUAAUGGCAUAUUUUUGCUCAUCGUCACCACUGCAUUCACUAAUCAUUUGUGCACGUGAAUUGUUUUUGAGCAUUUAUUUUGCCUUCGUUAAAAUUGGGCAUGUAAAAAUUUCAUGAAAAAUGGCCAAAGUGGCUGGCUAGGUGAUAUAAUGGAUGGUUACAACUCAAACCUAGCAAUAAAUGAAUGUCCGACAAGCAUUCAAAUGAAUGUAUAAAACCAAUGAGAUUAGAAUAUCUAUUUAUAAUAGACUAAUUAAAAUACGAUUCAAAUAUAAGGUAAAUAGUCUCUCUAUUAAUUUUUUAUUGUUUCAGGUAGGGUUGUCGAGCCUUUGUCCGGGCUUCUGUAAGCCCAUUUCCAGCCCUCUUAUAUGAUUGGAUUAGAUCAGGCUCGGCCCACCAGGCCGGGCUAAAUCUUGAGCUCUUUUUAAAUAAAAAAAAGUUGAAUUUUAAGUUUUUGAAGUUAAUAUAUAUACACACACACUUGUACUUAAAUAAUUUAUAAAUUUUUUAAAAGCCAAAUAAUAAAAAUAUUGACAUGUAAAAGUACAAUUUUUUUUUCAUGUGGAAUAAUUAUCUCAUUUCUACCUUUUUGGUCCUAUAGAUAUUUCCUCAUUUCAUCUUUGGUAUUAGAGCAGUAGUAAAAAGACACACGAUUAAAGAUAAAUGUGACAUUUUUACCGACAAAUUAACUAUUUGGAUCUAAGAUCUAGCUCUAAUGGUAAAGACUAGUUUUUAUAGAAUUCAGGUCCUGGGUUUGACUUCCAAUUGCGUGGGUAAGCUAAUAAUAAUAAUAAUAAUAAUAACAAAUUAACUAGUUUUAAUUUGCAAAGGUCUUAGAUAAUCAAUUCGUUUGUAAAAACAUCAAAUUUAUUUUCAGUAAUGAAAUUUUCAAGUCACUGGUUUUAGCACUAGGAAUGAAUUAAAUAGAGUAAUGAUAAACAUCUUAAAAUUUUAUCCCAAAUGAUAUGACAUGUAAUGUGUCAUUUAUUAAGUGGUUGGUGAUUUUUCAUAAAUUUUAAGUCGAUUAAUUAUAUUAUUUCACCAACCAAUAAAUGAACAUCACAUCAUUUGAGAAUGAAUUUUAAGGUAAAAUUUUAGAUAUAUAUCAUUACUCAAUUAUUUUUUAUAGUAUAAAAUCUAAUAGGGACCAAAAAUAUAAAAACCAAUUAAGAAAAAAAAAGUCAAUUCCUAAUUAGAAGAAUGAAAGUGUCAUUCUCCUAUAAUCAUUUCUCAAGUUUUUAUAUAAAUUUAUUAAUGCAAAAUUUUAAAAGAAAAUCGGUACCUAAAACUAACGCCUUUGACAAUGCUGCCAAUAUCACUCACAACUUACAAGAAUAAAGAAUUUGUAUUAAAUUUAUUAAUGUUCUCAAAGAAUUUUUAGUUUUGACUUUACAUUCUCAGACCCAUUUGUCACAUAACAUCUUAGCUGAUUAACAAAGCCCUUUCGUGAGAAUAUUAAAACUGCUCUCGAAUAAGCAUCUUAACAACCCCGUUUUUGACAUACAUGCAUGCCUCCUCAUGUCAGCAAAUUUGAAACAUAAAAGAUAAUUUCAAUCGAUGUGAGAGUUGGGAGUAUUUUAUAGCUUUUGACCUCAUUAAUUAUGAGUAAGAGAAUAUUUCUACGUCACUAAUGAUUAAAAUGAUCACUAUAUAUAUAAAGGGUAGCAAAGUAUGUUUAACAUCAAGUCAGAAAACACAAUUUUUAGGAAAUGGGAACUCGGGGACAGGCGAGGCAAUGGCCUCAAUUGUUUUGUGCUAUAGCAUUUUUGCUUAUAGCCACCACGACCAAGGCAUCGGCUGAUGAUUAUGCCUCAGCACCACCACCAAAGUAUUCUUCUCCACCUCUUUACUACUACAAAUCACCACCUCCUCCUUCUCCCUCUCCACCUCCACCAUAUUAUUACAAGUCUCCCCCACCACCAUCUCCGUCUCCUCCACCACCUUACUACUACACGUCACCACCGCCACCAGUGCAUUCUCCCCCGCCACCUUACUACUACAAGUCACCACCGCCACCAGUGCAUUCUCCUCCGCCACCUUACUACUACAAAUCUCCGCCGCCACCAAAGCAUUCUCCCCCGCCAC
rnacentral:lncRNA from 1 species